UUGAACGCUGGCGGCAGGCCUAACACAUGCAAGUCGAACGGUAACAGGAAGCAGCUUGCUGCUUCGCUGACGAGUGGCGGACGGGUGAGUAAUGUCUGGGAAACUGCCUGAUGGAGGGGGAUAACUACUGGAAACGGUAGCUAAUACCGCAUAACGUCGCAAGACCAAAGAGGGGGACCUUCGGGCCUCUUGCCAUCGGAUGUGCCCAGAUGGGAUUAGCUAGUAGGUGGGGUAACGGCUCACCUAGGCGACGAUCCCUAGCUGGUCUGAGAGGAUGACCAGCCACACUGGAACUGAGACACGGUCCAGACUCCUACGGGAGGCAGCAGUGGGGAAUAUUGCACAAUGGGCGCAAGCCUGAUGCAGCCAUGCCGCGUGUAUGAAGAAGGCCUUCGGGUUGUAAAGUACUUUCAGCGGGGAGGAAGGGAGUAAAGUUAAUACCUUUACUCAUUGACGUUACCCGCAGAAGAAGCACCGGCUAACUCCGUGCCAGCAGCCGCGGUAAUACGGAGGGUGCAAGCGUUAAUCGGAAUUACUGGGCGUAAAGCGCACGCAGGCGGUUUGUUAAGUCAGAUGUGAAAUCCCCGGGCUCAACCUGGGAACUGCAUCUGAUACUGGCAAGCUUGAGUCUCGUAGAGGGGGGUAGAAUUCCAGGUGUAGCGGUGAAAUGCGUAGAGAUCUGGAGGAAUACCGGUGGCGAAGGCGGCCCCCUGGACGAAGACUGACGCUCAGGUGCGAAAGCGUGGGGAGCAAACAGGAUUAGAUACCCUGGUAGUCCACGCCGUAAACGAUGUCGACUUGGAGGUUGUGCCCUUGAGGCGUGGCUUCCGGAGCUAACGCGUUAAGUCGACCGCCUGGGGAGUACGGCCGCAAGGUUAAAACUCAAAUGAAUUGACGGGGGCCCGCACAAGCGGUGGAGCAUGUGGUUUAAUUCGAUGCAACGCGAAGAACCUUACCUGGUCUUGACAUCCACGGAAGUUUUCAGAGAUGAGAAUGUGCCUUCGGGAACCGUGAGACAGGUGCUGCAUGGCUGUCGUCAGCUCGUGUUGUGAAAUGUUGGGUUAAGUCCCGCAACGAGCGCAACCCUUAUCCUUUGUUGCCAGCGGUCCGGCCGGGAACUCAAAGGAGACUGCCAGUGAUAAACUGGAGGAAGGUGGGGAUGACGUCAAAUCAUCAUGCCCCUUAUGACCUGGGCUACACACGUGCUACAAUGGCGUAAACAAAGGGAAGCGAGAUUGUGAGAUGGAGCAAAUCCCAAAAAUAACGUCUCAGUUCGGAUUGUAGUCUGCAACUCGACUACAUGAAGCUGGAAUCGCUAGUAAUCGCGGAUCAGAAUGCCGCGGUGAAUACGUUCCCGGGCCUUGUACACACCGCCCGUCACACCAUGAGAGUUGGCAACACCCGAAGCCGGCGGCCCAACCCGCAAGGGAGGGAGCUGUCUAAGGUGGGGCUGAUGAUUGGGGUG
rnacentral:rRNA from 1 species